AAAUGAGAGCAUGAACGUAGAUUGCAGCACAGCGCCCAUCAUGCGGGAUGCUUUCAAUAACUGAUGUAAAAGAGCUAAUGACACCUGUUGUAAUGAGCUCUCUGCAGGAGUGUCCUAUGAAUCUGACGGAUGUGAAUUCUGGGGGUAACUAUGGAGUUCUAGUGACUACACAGAGACAAAGCACUUCUUGCUGCCACCAUGUGAAGAAGGAUGUGUUUGCUUCCUCUUUUGCCACAAUUGUAAGUUUCCUGAGGACUUCCCAGCCAUGCUGAACUCAGAAGAGGAAGUUGGAGGCAUGUGAGGUGCAGGAAGGAUUCUAAGCAGUGGUGCUGGCUUUGAAGAUGGAAGGCAUUGUACCUCAAUGAAUGUGACUGGUUUCUAGAAGCUGAGAGUAGCCAGCCCCCAGCUGACAGCCAACAAGGAAACAGGGACCUUGGUUCUCCAACCACAGAAAAUAGAUUCUACCAACAAGAAUGAGCUUGAAAGCAGAUUCUUCCCUCGCACUUAAAGAUUCAUUCUCCAUGCCUCAGUACUCUGUGCUAUUUCCCAGAAGGCUGAUCCUUAAGGACUACACCUGUGGGAUCCCUUGUCACUGGCAAUGGGACAAUGGGAGGUGCCAGCAGAAAAUCAGAGUGAUGAAGAAUGAGGUCUGGGUAUUUAUCUCCUGGCUUUCUGUAAGUAUACAAGGUGAUAAAAAGGAAAAUGAUUCCUAACAACUUGGGGGUAUGUGGAAGCAGGGGAAGGGGGUGCUGUGGGCUGAACUGUGUUUCCUCAAAGUCAUAUGCUGAAGCUCAAACUCCUAAUGUGACUGUAUUUGGAGCAGGGGCUUUUAAGAAGUAAAGUUAAAAGAUGUCACAAGGUGAACGUCACAAUCCAUUGGAAUAGGUGACCUUAUAAGAAAAGGGAGAGAGAUCUCUUCCUCUCCAGACACACACACACACACCCACACACACCAAGGAAAGGCCAUGUGAGCACGUGGUGAGAAGGCAGCCGUCUGUAAGCCAGGAAGAGAGACCUCACCAGAACUCAACCAUGUUGGCACCUGAUCUCGAACUUUCCAGCCUCUAGAACUGGAAGAAAGUACAUUUCUGUUUAAACUACCAGGUAUGUGAUAUUUUGUUAUGGCAGCCUGAAAAGACAUACAUGGGCAGGGAAGACUUCUCAGAGGUAUUUCUUGAGCUGAGACUUUUUGUUUCCUAGUGGUGGGAGGUAGGGUUUUCCAGGCAGAGAACACCAUGCAAUAAGGCACAAAAUUUCAGGGAAUAGUAUGUAUCAAGCACUUGGAUCAUAGAGUGCUUGGAAGGGAAGUGGAAGAGGCUGGAAAAGCAAGCAGAGGCCAGAUGUUAGGGUUUAAUGUCAAAGGCCAAGAAAUUUGCCUAAAAGAAGUCCAGUGGGAAACUACUGAGGGUUCUUAAGUCAUCUGAAGUAUGUAAUAGUAUCCAUGUUCAAAAGACCAUUCUUGUGAUUGUGUGAGAGGCCAGACUAAUAAAGAGGUAGAGAAUAAUUUAACUCUGAUUUUUGAAAUGUGCCCGAUGGAGCCCUCAGGGUCCUAAGUCAAGGAUCACCAUGAAGCUGGAGGAGGAGGCUAAGUGGGCAGGGUCAUGGGAUCCCAUGUCUACUUCACCCACAUAAGUUCUGUGGCCCUAGACUAGACCUGGAAUCUUUGUUACACUCAGGACAACUAGUCUAGAAUAUUUUACUUCAAAGACUGUACUGAAAGAGGCUACAUAGGGAGGUCAAAGGCACCUGCUUCAGCUCUUUUAGCUAUGGUGAAAAAGUCAGGGAAUUAUCAAGAAUUCUGAGAGAAAUGUGACUGGACCCAUGCCAGGAAGAUGUCAGAACUACUAAGAAAUACCAAUGGGGUGGACUGUUAUCAACCCCAGCUGAAUGACAGGCCAUAUGCAAAGUCCUAGACUAUUAUGGCUCUUAGAUUUUCAGACUACACCCAGUUGAUUAAAUGAGUCUGUGUGAUAAAUUGAAAUGUAAAAGGUUAUUUUCAUGCCAUGGAGAUCUGCUCUUGUCGGAUAUAUUUUCAUCUGAAAAUAUCGAUUAAAAUGAUUAAUAUAGACAUAACAAAAAUGACUAACUUGCUUUAGAGAAAAGAUGAUAUCUCUUAGGAAUGAGCUUUAAAAUCUCACGAGCGGUUUUUGGCAACUGCAUAGCAGAACUAAAAAGAAUGCAGGUUAAGUAUCUCUUACCCAAAAUGUUUCACAAGUAAAAUAAAACAGAAGUGUAUCAGAUUUCAAAUUUUUUUUAAAUUUUGGAAUAUCUGCAUAAACAAUGAGAUAUCUUGGGGAUAGGGCCCAAGUUUAAACAUAAAAUUAAUUUCUGUUUCAUAUACAGCUUAUGUACAUAAGCUGAUGGUAAUUUUAUACAUAUUUUAAAUAAUUUUGUACAAGACACAAAGGUUUGAAUGCAUUUUUGAAUGCAACCUGUCACACGGUCAGGUAUGUGAAAUUUUCCACUUGUGGCAUCGUGUUGACACUCAAGAAGUUUUGGUUUUGGAGCAUUUUGGAUUUUGGAUUUUAUGUAUUAUAAGAUUGUAAGGUAAAAACUAUGCCCAGGAGAGGGCAGUGCAGCCUUCUGUAAAGUUAACUAAUAGGCCCAAUAGAAAAUAGUGUGAGCAUUAAGAGCAGAGAUGUUCUAAUUCAUGAAAACUAUUUUGUGUUAAGUCACUUUACCUUUUUAAAACAUGAGAGACAUACUGCCACUUCUAUGUCCCUUGAAGAGACAGCACAAGGGAGAGCUGCUUAAGUCUUGUAAAAAAAAAUUCUGGAAAACUUUAGCUCCCUAAAACUGAAGAAUUGUAUCAAAACUGAAGAACUGUAUCAGUUCUAGCAGGUUUCUACUGACUUUCCUAUUUUAAACAAUUAUCUUUGUUUCUGAAAACUGAUUCAAUAAACUAGUUUUUAAAAGAGAUUAAUGUCUAAAAUUUUAUUUGUUUAUAUUCUCCUUUAAUUUACACUGUACACAUCUCCAAGAGCUGAUGAAAGUAUUCUAAACGGUUUCCUGUGGAAAUCUGUAGUACAGA
rnacentral:lncRNA from 1 species